rnacentral:rRNA from 1 species
UACGUAGGGUGCAAGCGUUAAUCGGAAUUACUGGGCGUAAAGCGUGCGCAGGCGGCUAUGCAAGACAGAUGUGAAAUCCCCGGGCUCAACCUGGGAACUGCAUUUGUGACUGCAUGGCUAGAGUACGGUAGAGGGGGAUGGAAUUCCGCGUGUAGCAGUGAAAUGCGUAGAUAUGCGGAGGAACACCGAUGGCGAAGGCAAUCCCCUGGACCUGUACUGACGCUGAGGUGCGAAAGCGUGGGGAGCAAACAGG